GACGAACGCUGGCGGCGUGCCUAAUACAUGCAAGUAGAACGCAGUUGAGAAGGGGUGCGUAACGCGGAGGUAACUGCGUCAUCGCGGGGGAUAACUAUUGGGAACGAUAGCUAAUACCGCAUACUGUGAGAUGGACCUGCGUUGUAUUCGCUAGUUGGUGAGGUAAAGGCUCACCAAGGAGACGAUACAUAGCCGACCUGAGAGGGUGAACGGCCAAACUGGUACUGGGGCACGGACCAGGCUUCUACGGUAGGCAGCAGGAGGGAAGCGUUGGCAAUGGACGGAAGUCUUACCGAGCAACGCCGCGGGAGGUAAGAAGGGUGUCGGAUCGUAAAGCUCUGGUGGUAAGGAAGCGGUAACUAACCAGAAAGGGACGGCUAACUACGUGCCAGCAGCCGCGGUAAUUC
rnacentral:rRNA from 1 species